rnacentral:rRNA from 1 species
UACAUGGGGUGCAAACGUUGCUCGGAAUUAUUGGGCGUAAAGCGCACGUAGGCGGUUUGUUAAGUCGGAUGUGAAAUCCCUCGGCUCAACUGAGGAAGUGCAUCCGAAACUGGCAAGCUUGAGUACGAAAGAGGGUCGCGGAAUUCCCGGCGUAGAGGUGAAAUUCGUAGAUAUCGGGAGGAACACCGGUGGCGAAGGCGGCGACCUGGGUCGAUACUGACGCUGAGGUGCGAAAGCGUGGGGAGCAAACAGG